rnacentral:lncRNA from 1 species
GGAGAUGCAGAUUGGGUUCAUCAAAGAUGAGAAUCAUAUAUAUAUAUGGUUUACAGAGGGCUACAAAUCAGGAACAUUUAUGAUAAAGCUAUUUAAGAUGGGGACAUGAUAAAGAGUUUACCGGUGAAAAAAUAGAUUACAAACACACACGGCACUACUCUGUUACUCAGACUUGUUUGAGACAAUGAUGAAAAGAAUCCGAACUCGUGUUAAACGCCAACAAUUUACAAUAUAGGAAAACCAUAAUCGUUGCAAACA